rnacentral:rRNA from 1 species
CAACCUGCCUUACACUCUUGGACAGCCUUCUGAAAGGGAGAUUAAUACAAGAUGUUAUCAUGAGUAAGCAUUUUCGCAUGAUUAAAAGUUUACCGGUGUAAGAUGGGGAUGCGUUCCAUUAGAUAGUAGGCGGGGUAACGGCCCACCUAGUCUUCGAUGGAUAGGGGUUCUGAGAGGAAGGUCCCCCACAUUGGAACUGAGACACGGUCCAAACUCCUACGGGAGGCAGCAGUGAGGAAUAUUGGUCAAUGGACGAGAGUCUGAACCAGCCAAGUAGCGUGAAGGAUGAAGGUUCUAUGGAUUGUAAACUUCUUUUAUACGGGAAUAAACGGAUCCACGUGUGGAUUUUUGCAUGUACCGUAUGAAUAAGGAUCGGCUAACUCCGUGCCAGCAGCCGCGGUAAUACGGAGGAUCCGAGCGUUAUCCGGAUUUAUUGGGUUUAAAGGGAGCGUAGAUGGGUUGUUAAGUCAGUUGUGAAAGUUUGCGGCUCAACCGUAAAAUUGCAAUUGAUACUGGCAGUCUUGAGUACAGUUGAGGUAAGCGGAAUUCGUGGUGUAGCGGUGAAAUGCUUAGAUAUCACGAAGAACUCCGAUUGCGAAGGCAGCUUACUAACCUGUAACUGACAUUGAUGCUCGAAAGUGUGGGUAUCAAACAGGAUUAGAUACCCUGGUAGUCCACACGGUAAACGAUGAAUACUCGCUGUAGGCGAUAUACAGUCUGCGGCCAAGCGAAAGCAUUAAGUAUUCCACCUGGGGAGUACGCCGGCAACGGUGAAACUCAAAGGAAUUGACGGGGGCCCGCACAAGCGGAGGAACAUGUGGUUUAAUUCGAUGAUACGCGAGGAACCUUACCCGGGCUUAAAUUGCAACCGAAUAUGGCGGAAACGCUAUAGCUAGCAAUAGCGGUUGUGAAGGUGCUGCAUGGUUGUCGUCAGCUCGUGCCGUGAGGUGUCGGCUUAAGUGCCAUAACGAGCGCAACCCUUGCCGAUAGUUACUAACAGGUUAUGCUGAGGACUCUGUCGGGACUGCCAUCGUAAGAUGUGAGGAAGGUGGGGAUGACGUCAAAUCAGCACGGCCCUUACGUCCGGGGCUACACACGUGUUACAAUGGGGGGUACAGAGGGCUGCUACCACGCAAGUGGAUGCCAAUCCCAAAAACCUCUCUCAGUUCGGAUUGAAGUCUGCAACCCGACUUCAUGAAGCUGGAUUCGCUAGUAAUCGCGCAUCAGCCACGGCGCGGUGAAUACGUUCCCGGGCCUUG